rnacentral:RNase_P_RNA from 1 species
CGGAGUGCCACAGGCGGCCGCGGGCCGCGCUCGCGCGGCCUGAGGAAAGUCCGAGCUCCACAGGGCAGGGUGCUGGGUAACCCCCAGCGGGAGCGAUCCCAGGGAAAGUGCCACAGAAAAUAAACCGCCUCGGGCGAAAGCCCGCGGUAAGGGUGAAACGGUGCGGUAAGAGCGCACCAGCGGAGGCGGUGACGCCUCCGGCUCGGUAAACCCCACCUGGAGAAAGACCAAAUAGGGGAGAGACAGAACUCGGCUUAUGGGGCACUCCGGCAU